rnacentral:rRNA from 1 species
GCGCGUUCCUAGGUCUUCGUUUGGGGUGACCAGCGGAGGGAUCAUUACCGAGUUUACAACUCCCAAACCCCUGUGAACAUACCUAUACGUUGCCUCGGCGGAUCAGCCCGCGCCCCGUAAAACGGGACGGCCCGCCCGAGGACCCUAAACUCUGUUUUUAGUGGAACUUCUGAGUAAAACAAACAAAUAAAUCAAAACUUUCAACAACGGAUCUCUUGGUUCUGGCAUCGAUGAAGAACGCAGCAAAAUGCGAUAAGUAAUGUGAAUUGCAGAAUUCAGUGAAUCAUCGAAUCUUUGAACGCACAUUGCGCCCGCCAGUAUUCUGGCGGGCAUGCCUGUUCGAGCGUCAUUUCAACCCUCAAGCUCAGCUUGGUGUUGGGACUCGCGGUAACCCGCGUUCCCCAAAUCGAUUGGCGGUCACGUCGAGCUUCCAUAGCGUAGUAAUCAUACACCUCGUUACUGGUAAUCGUCGCGGCCACGCCGUAAAACCCCAACUUCUGAAUGUUGACCUCGGAUCAGGUAGGAAUACCCGCUGAACUUAAGCAUAUCAAUAGGCCGGAGGAAA